ensembl:misc_RNA Metazoa_SRP Metazoan signal recognition particle RNA
UGCCGACCGGGUGCCUGCACUAAGUUUGGCAUCAAUAUGGCGACCUCCUGGGAGCGGGGGGCCACCAAGUUGCCUAAGGAUGGCUGAACUGGCCCAGGUCAGAAACGGAGCAGGUCAGAACUCCUGCACCGACCAGUAGUGGGACUGUGUCUGGGCG